GUAGUGACUACCCACGACAACAAUGUAGCGAGGCGAUUUAGACGGAUCAAAGGCCAAGUGAGCACUACGAUGAAGAGCCUCUCGAAAUGAAAGUCCACUAGGUUUAGGAAGUACCUUGUACUUCUGCGUGGCCGUCGAGGAAGGAGAGAGACGGGAGAUUCUUGCGGCCGCGAAGCGAGACGGACUUGAGUCGGCUCUGUUUGUAGAAAUAGAGGCCGGAGAUUGAAGGGCUAGGGUUUCGGGAGGAGUGGGUGGUGGAGAAUUGGGAGUGGGAGAUGAGAGAGAGCCAAUGCCUGGACAUGGACUUGAAUCGGAUUAGGGAUCUUGCCGGC